rnacentral:rRNA from 1 species
GACGAACGCUGGCGGCGUGCUUAACACAUGCAAGUCGAACGGAAAGGCCCUGCUUUUGUGGGGUGCUCGAGUGGCGAACGGGUGAGUAACACGUGAGUAACCUGCCCUUGACUUUGGGAUAACUUCAGGAAACUGGGGCUAAUACCGGAUAGGAGCUCCUGCUGCAUGGUGGGGGUUGGAAAGUUUCGGCGGUUGGGGAUGGACUCGCGGCUUAUCAGCUUGUUGGUGGGGUAGUGGCUUACCAAGGCUUUGACGGGUAGCCGGCCUGAGAGGGUGACCGGCCACAUUGGGACUGAGAUACGGCCCAGACUCCUACGGGAGGCAGCAGUGGGGAAUAUUGCACAAUGGGCGGAAGCCUGAUGCAGCAACGCCGCGUGCGGGAUGACGGCCUUCGGGUUGUAAACCGCUUUCGCCUGUGACGAAGCGUGAGUGACGGUAAUGGGUAAAGAAGCACCGGCUAACUACGUGCCAGCAGCCGCGGUGAUACGUAGGGUGCGAGCGUUGUCCGGAUUUAUUGGGCGUAAGGGCUCGUAGGUGGUUGAUCGCGUCGGAAGUGUAAUCUUGGGGCUUAACCCUGAGCGUGCUUUCGAUACGGGUUGACUUGAGGAAGGUAGGGGAGAAUGGAAUUCCUGGUGGAGCGGUGGAAUGCGCAGAUAUCAGGAGGAACACCAGUGGCGAAGGCGGUUCUCUGGGCCUUUCCUGACGCUGAGGAGCGAAAGCGUGGGGAGCGAACAGGCUUAGAUACCCUGGUAGUCCACGCUGUAAACGGUGGGUACUAGGUGUGGGGUCCAUUCCACGGGUUCCGUGCCGUAGCUAACGCUUUAAGUACCCCGCCUGGGGAGUACGGCCGCAAGGCUAAAACUCAAAGGAAUUGACGGGGCCCCGCACAAGCGGCGGAGCAUGCGGAUUAAUUCGAUGCAACGCGUAGAACCUUACCUGGGUUUGACAUGGAUCGGGAGUGCUCAGAGAUGGGUGUGCCUCUUUUGGGGUCGGUUCACGGGUGGUGCAUGCCUGUCGUCAGCUCGUGUCGUGAGAUGUUGGGUUAAGUCCCGCAACGAGCGCAACCCUUGUUCACUGUUGCCAGCACGUUAUGGUGGGGACUCAGUGGAGACCGCCGGGGUCAACUCGGAGGAAGGUGGUGAUGACGUCAAGUCAUCAUGCCCCUUAUGUCCAGGGCUUCACGCAUGCUACAAUGGCUGGUACAGAGAGUGGCGAGCCUGUGAGGGUGAGCGAAUCUCGGAAAGCCGGUCUCAGUUCGGAUUGGGGUCUGCAACUCGACCUCAUGAAGUCGGAGUCGCUAGUAAUCGCAAAGCAGCAACGCUGCGGUGAAUACGUUCCCGGGGCC